UGAGUAACACGUAUCCAACCUGCCGUCUACUCUUGGACAGCCUUCUGAAAGGAAGAUUAAUACAAGAUGGCAUCAUGAUUCACAUGUUCACAUGAUUAAAGGUAUUCCGGUAGACGAUGGGGAUGCGUUCCAUUAGAUAGUAGGCGGGGUAACGGCCCACCUAGUCUUCGAUGGAUAGGGGUUCUGAGAGGAAGGUCCCCCACAUUGGAACUGAGACACGGUCCAA
rnacentral:rRNA from 1 species